GCUUAGACUUUCACAAAGCUAAGCUUGAGGGGGAGUGUUAAGAUGAGGAGUGUUAAGUGAAGAAUGGAGAUGAGGGUUGAGUAGAAUGAAGAGGAGGAAGGAUAGGAAGGUUUGGGAGCUUUGGGAUCAGCCAGUCCGUACAAGGCCGUACAUGGCCGUACAUGGCCGUACAUGGCCGGACAGUCCGUACAAGAUGGGAUCAACCAAAGCUCAACCAAACCUUACCAUAAGUUAUCCGAGUUACUUAAGUAAAGAGGAGAAGUUACCUUAGCCUUUUGUGGGAUGGAUCAGACCGUUGGAAAGGAUAAGGGAGUCUUGGACAGGCUGGCACAGCUGGAAAAGCAAAAGCAAAAGGGCAUGAGCCAGCUAAGGAAGGCUCACACGCGCGGCUCACAUCAUUGGAUGAUUUUGAAAUGGUCAUUGACUCCACAUGCUUAUCUUAUCCUCUUGUUUAUGAAAACCCUAAGCUCUCUCCCUAUAAAUAUGUAAACACUCUCUCAUUAAUUAAUCAAGCAAGUUUUGAGUCUUUCUCUUAGUCUUUAAUCUCAAUGGUUCCUUAUUAGACUCAUAAUUGUUGAACUGAAGAGAAGAUGGAGCUUGUACAAGAAUAGGGCAAGCUCUAGAAGAUGUCUAGAAGAGUUCAACCAAGCUUCAGAAGUGUUCUGAAGGAGUUAUCUUGUGAAGUUAAGUCUAGGAAAGACUUAGACUGAUCAUGUGGAGGCUUUGGAGGAGUUAAAGAGAAGAUGGAAGUAUGGUGCAAAGAUAGGGCGUUCGGUACGGCCAUG
rnacentral:lncRNA from 1 species